CACAGACCACUCAGUCUUCUACAGCCAGCAUCUGAGGAAACUUCAUCCUACAGCCCAUCCUCAUGGCUUCUCAUAUAGACAAGUUUUAAAGUGCAUCUUCAUGUUUCUGGCUGCUAAGGCUUCAUCUGUCAGUGACAAUGAAUGCUGACAUGUCAGAAAUGCACUUGAACUGAAAAUCACAGACACUGACCCUCUGUGGCAAAGGAGUUGGACUAUGGUUGUAUACAAGGCAAGUACCAGCUUCUAGAACUGAAGUCAACCAA
rnacentral:lncRNA from 1 species